AGUUAUUGGUUAAAUUCAAGAGUGUAACCAGACACUGUAGUCCGAUUCCCUCAUCUCACCCGCAGGGGAGGUUAGACGGCUGCAGAGACCUGACUGUGGCUUCUUCUGCGGGGCAAUAGAUGACAAAAAGCUGCUUCUACAGCCAGGCUGCCCAUGGGAAGAAGGAGCCCUGCUGGCACGGAAUGAAGGUCCUGUGAACAGCAGGGAAAGCAGAUGGACAGGAUGUCUAGUCCUGGUAUUCCAGAUGUGGAGAGGACGGCACAGAACAGCAACAGAUAGGUGGCAGCCUGGUGAGAGAAGAGGGAGCAGGAAGCCUUUCAGUCUCCUCAGGUGUGUGGAGUUGGGGCGGAGCGGUGGCACUGUGGCUAAGGAUCUGCGCCUGUGGCUGGAAGGUUGUUGGUUCAAACCCCACAGCCAGCAGAGGAAUCCUACUCCGUUGGGCUCCUGAGCAAGGCCCUUCACCCCAACUGCUCCAGGGGGGCUGUACAAUGGCUGACCCUGCGCUCCAACCCCAGGUUCUCUCCCCGUCUGUGUGUCUCAUGGAGAGCAAGCUGGGGUAUGUGAAAAGAUCAUUCCUAAUGCAAGAGAUUGUAAAGGGUUAAUAAAGUGAUUGUUAUGUUAUGAGUUGGAGGAGUACUUGACCACAGUCUGUGUCUUGGAUUAGGCAGUCCACUUGAAACCUGAGGGAAAACUCAC
rnacentral:lncRNA from 1 species